rnacentral:rRNA from 1 species
GAUGAACGCUAGCUACAGGCUUAACACAUGCAAGUCGAGCGGUUUGUGCUUUUGCACAUUCAGCGGCAGACGGGUGAGUAACACGUAUCUAACCUUCCCCUUACUUGGGCAUAGCCUCUGGAAACGGAGAUUAAUUUCCGAUGUGGUGUACAUUUCGCAUGUUUUGCGCACCAAAGAUUUAUCGGUAAGGGAUGGGCAUGCGUCCCAUUAGCUGGUUGGUGAGGUAAUGGCCCACCAAGGCUACGAUGGGUAGGGGUUCUGAGAGGAAAGCCCCCCACACUGGUACCGAGACACGGACCAGACUCCUACGGGAGGCAGCAGUAAGGAAUAUUGGGCAAUGGUCGAAAGACUGACCCAGCCAUGCCGCGUGCAGGAUGAAGGCCCUAUGGGUUGUAAACUGCUUUUAGCCGGGAAUAAACACCCGUUUUAUAACGGGCCCGAAGGUACCGGCUGAAUAAGCAUCGGCUAACUCCGUG